GCAUGGAUAGCUCAGCUGGUUAGAGCAUGGGGCUGAUAACGCCAAGGUUGCAGGUUCGAUCCUGUAAGGCA